CGUGUAUAUAUAUAUAUAUAUAUAAUAAGGUUUGAAGCUGAUGUACAGGUAUUACAUAGAAGAAAUGAGGUACUCAGAAAUCUGGAUGGUUUUAUAUUUACAGAUAUUUAUUAGUAUGUUACAUGUUUUUAUAAAUCAUAUAUUAUAUAUUAGCACUUUCGUCCAUUCUAA